AAACCAACUGUCAUUCUGAGGACUAAGUUUAGUCGUUACAAAACCAACUGUCAUUCUGAGGACUAAGUUUAGUUGUUACAAAACCAACUGUCAUUCUGAGGACUAAGUUUAGUCGUUACAAAACCAACUGUCAUUCUGAGGACUAAGUUUAGUAGUUACAAAACCAACUGUCAUUCUGAGGACUAAGUUUAGUCGUUACAAAACCAACUGUCAUUCUGAGGACUAAGUUUAGUAGUUACAAAACCAACUGUCAUUCUGAGGACUAAGUUUAGUAGUUACAAAACCAACUGUCAUUCUGAGGACUAAGUUUAGUAGUUACAAAACCAACUGUCAUUCUGAGGACUAAGUUUAGUAGUUACAAAACCAACUGUCAUUCUGAGGACUAAGUUUAGUAGUUACAAAACCAACUGUCAUUCUGAGGACUAAGUUUAGUAGUUACAAAACCAACUGUCAUUCUGAGGACUAAGUUUAGUAGUUACAAAACCAACUGUCAUUCUGAGGACCAAGUUUAGUAGUUACAAAACCAACUGUCAUUCUGAGGACUAAGUUUAGUAGUUACAAAACCAACUGUCAUUCUGAGGACUAAGUUUAGUUGUUACAAAACCAACUGUCAUUCUGAGGACUAAGUUUAUUAGUUACAAAACCAACUGUCAUUCUGAGGACUAAGUUUAUUAGUUACAAAACCAACUGUCAUUCUGAGGACUAAGUUUAGUAGUUACAAAACCAACUGUCAUUCUGAGGACUAAGUUUAUUCGUUACAAAACCAACUGUCAUUCUGAGGACUAAGUUUAGUAGUUACAAAACCAACUGUCAUUCUGAGGACUAAGUUUAGUCGUUACAAAACCAACUGUCAUUCUGAGGACUAAGUUUAGUCGUUACAAAACCAACUGUCAUUCUGAGGACUAAGUUUAUUAGUUACAAAACCAACUGUCAUUCUGAGGACUAAGUUUAGUAGUUGCAAAACCAACUGUCAUUCUGAGGACUAAGUUUAGGCAAAGUGUCUUAUUUUCAAUACAUUUUAUUUUCGCCUGAAUCGUCUUUUCGUCUGGAUUAAAUUCUUGGGUCAUUUUAUACUGUUUUACUUUAGAAAAAACGAACUUAUUUAAAAUAAAACCCAAAGUAUGUUUCUGUAAUUUGUCCAUAAAUCAUAAAAAAUAUAUAUCUUCGUUGAAGUUUACAUUACACUAUAAUAUGUAUUAUGUAGAAACACAGUCUGGACAUGUUGGGGGAAAAAAGUCUGAUUUAAUUUUAAACAUGUUUAUUUUCAGUGUUAUUUAACUCAGACCUUUACAUUACAAGAAAUGGAGAAAUGGAUUAAUUAAAAUAUAAAUAUAUAUAUUAGAAAUGGAUUAGUUAAGAUCUGUUAUGAUAAUUAGAACUUUGUGGAAAUUAAAAUGGUAAAAUGCAUAAUAUCUGAUAACUUUUUUCAAUAAUUAUAAUUAUGAAAUAGAUAUGUACACAUCCUGAUCUCAGCGAUCCAAGAGGACAUUUCAUGACAAAUGACACUUGAGGAAUGUUGUGGUAAAAUAUAACCUUAUUCUAAGAUAGAGACUUUGCUACUGUGGUGUUUUCAUCUGGAGAUAUGAUCAUGUCCUAAAUCAGAUUUUAAAAAAGAAGGAAAAUAGGUAUUUUGUUUAGAUUAUGAGUGUUGAUUAUGUAAAUACACGUAUAAAACCUCUUGUCUUUCAUUGUAUGAUUUUGGAUAUUGCUAAAUGUAAAUGAUUAUAUAAUUUAAAGGAAGUACAGUGUAUUCAGGAAGUACUCAGGAAGUAUUCAGGGAGUAUUCAGGAAGCAUUCAGGAAGCAUUCAGGAAGCAUUCAGGAAGUAUUCAGGAAGUAUUCCGGAAGUAUUCAGGAAGUACUCAGGAAGUAUUCAGGCCCUUUUAACUUUUUACCACAUGUUGUUACGUUACAGCCUUAUUCUAAUAUGGGUUUAUUCUCCCCUCAUCACACAAUGACAAUGAAUAUUGAAAUGAGACCUUCUUGUUGAGUAUCUGAUAAUCUAUGUGUAUAGGAGUGGUUAAAACACGCUCAUAAUGGACCUCUGAGUACAUCAACAAAAAGUUUGAAUUUUUUUUAAAAAACGGGACCUGGAGUUUUCUUAGAGGCUGUAAUUGCAUCAAGAAGUCCCUCUUCUGUAAUUUAAUCCCAUCAGUCGUUCUGUACAGCUCUUCUGUAAUUUAACCACAUGAGUCGUUCUGUACAGCUCUUCUGUAAUUUAAUCCCAUGAGUCUUUCUGUACAGCUCUUCUGUAAUUUAAUCCCAUGAGUCUUUCUGUACAGCUCUUCUGUAAUUUAAUCCCAUGAGUCUUUCUGUACAGCUCUUCUGUAAUUUAAUCCCAUGAGUCGUUCUGUACAGCUCUUCUGUAAUUUAAUCCCAUGAGUCUUUCUGUACAGCUCUUCUGUAAUUUAAUCCCAUGAGUCUUUCUGUACAGCUCUUCUGUAAUUUAAUCCCAUUAGUCUUUCUGUACAGCUCUUCUGUAAUUUAAUCCCAUGAGUCUUUCUGUACAGCUCUUCUGUAAUUUAAUCCCAUGAGUCUUUCUGUACAGCUCUUCUGUCAUUUAACCACAUGAGUCGUUCUGUACAGCUGUUAGUUUUACAUUAUUAAUAGGGGGGGAAAUCCAUACCAUUAGCGUUGGUUAGAGGAGUUGGAGGAGACUGAAAUGAAAACAAAUGCUUAAAGUACUUUGCUUCCUCUUUCAAAAUAUCAUUUGUCUCAAGUUUCAGUAAAUUAUUUUUGGUAGCAUUUCUAUGUUGAAGAUUUUUUUUUGUAUAAUUUGGUGCAUUUUUCCCCAAUAACAUUUGUUAUUGUUACCCAUCUACCUAUCACUGCCCUAAGUGCAACAAAUUAUUUUAUAAUGAGAACUUCGAAAGCUCCCUGGUCUUUGUCGCUGAAUCUGUGCUUGAAAUUCAAUACUUGACUGAGUGACCUUACAGAUGUUGUAUGUAUGGGGGACAGAGGAAGGGAUUAGUCAUUCACUACUAGACUGAGGGACCUUACAGAUGCUGUAUGUAUGGGGGACAGAGGAAGGGUUAGUCAUUCACUACUAGACUGAGGGACCUUACAGAUGCUGUAUGUAUGGGGGACAGAGGAAGGGUUAGUCAUUCACUACUAGACUGAGGGACCUUACAGAUGCUGUAUGUAUGGGGGACAGAGGAAGUUUAAUAUUUUCCUCUAGAUACUAGCUCAACAGCCACAUCAUUCAUUACCAGACCGAGGUCUUGUGCCUAGUUUAAUAUUUUCCUCUAGCUACUAGCUCAACAGCCACAUCCUUUAUUACCAGACUGAGGUCUUGUGCCUAGUUUAAUAUUUUCCUCUAGCUACUAGCUCAACAGCCACAUCAUUCAUUACCAGACUGAGGUCUUGUGCCUAGUUUAAUAUUUUCCUCUAGCUACUAGCUCAACAGCCACAUCCUUUAUUACCAGACUGAGGUCUUGUGCCUAGUUUAAUAUUUUCCUCUAGCUACUAGCUCAACAGCCACAUCCUUUAUUACCAGACUGAGGUCUUGUGCCUAGUUUAAUAUUUUCCUCUAGCUACUAGCUCAACAGCCACAUCCUUUAUUACCAGACUGAGGUCUUGUGCCUAGUUUAAUAUUUUCCUCUAGCUACUAGCUCAACAGCCACAUCCUUUAUUACCAGACUGAGGUCUUGUGCCUAGUUUAAUAUUUUCCUCUAGCUACUAGCUCAACAGCCACAUCCUUUAUUACCAGACUGAGGUCUUGUGCCUAGUUUAAUAUUUUCCUCUAGCUACUAGCUCAACAGCCACAUCCUUUAUUACCAGACUGAGGUCUUGUGCCUAGUUUAAUAUUUUCCUCUAGCUACUAGCUCAACAGCCACAUCCUUUAUUACCAGACUGAGGUCUUGUGCCUAGUUUAAUAUUUUCCUCUAGCUACUAGCUCAACAGCCACAUCCUUUAUUACCAGACUGAGGUCUUGUGCCUAGUUUAAUAUUUUCCUCUAGCUACUAGCUCAACAGCCACAUCCUUUAUUACCAGACUGAGGUCUUGUGCCUAGUUUAAUAUUUUCCUCUAGCUACUAGCUCAACAGCCACAUCCUUUAUUACCAGACUGAGGUCUUGUGCCUAGUUUAAUAUUUUCCUCUAGCUACCAGCUCAACAGCCACAUCCUUUAUUACCAGACUGAGGUCUUGUACUUAAAGGAAUGAUUUCUACCAAAUACAACGCUCUUAGUUACAUUGAUAAGUUGUUAACAUACAAAAACAUUCACAGCCUCAUGAAUGUUUCCAUCGAUGUUAUUCCACCAUGUCAGAGAAAACACAGCUGAUGAAACAGAGGAGUAUUUCUGUCUAUAAUAAAGCCCUUAU